CUACAACCAGAAUGGCAUCGUUGCAAUUUCGGCAAUGCUACUUACACUUACACUUUGAAAUAUUUAUGACAUUUGACUUAGGCCAACAUAUCUGUCAAUGUCAAACGCCAAACGUCACUGAAGCUUGCAAACAGCAUUUGGUGCCGCAGGGCUGACAUGAGUUAAAAGACUUGUCAUUGUCAAAUGUCACUUGUCAAGUGCUUGAAAAUUAUUUCAACAUUUAUUUAUUAAAAUACUGACAUAAAUGGCAACCACGCGUUUUCCGUAAAACUUUCAAAAUAUUUUCUUAAUUUUUUCACACCAGAGUGAUUCACGUGUUGAUUCACCUUCUUCCUUGUUUUCCUUGUGUAUUGUCGUUUUCCCCCUCAAGGUGCUAAUGGGGUCCGAUUAUUUAAACCAUGGCGGCCACUGAUCAACCAUCAGUCAGUUAUCAUCAGCAAAAUGUCAAAAGUGAUUUUAACGUGCCUUUUGGUGCUCUCUCUCAUGAGUUUGGUACUCGCCAAACCGGCUGAGACCUCCUCCGAGAACCCCACCACUGAGCAAUCGGAAGUAGAUGAGACCUCAGAGGUCGUGAGGGUGAAGAGAAACGUUUCCUUCAAUGGCAGGCCCUUUUUGACCAUGGUUUUCGGAUAAAAGUGCUAUAUUUAAGUUAAUUUGUAGUUUUAGUCAAUAAAUAUAUAUAUAUUUUUAA